UAUCUUCUCUUCUCUCUAUUUUCUCUGCCCUCUUUGUACGUAUCACUAUUUCUAAUUUUCUUCUUCUUCAAAUUCGGGAAAAGGAUGAAAUAUCCAUUUCUCCCGUUCUUGAAUUUUUGUUUCUAUUGAUAGACACACACAUGGUUUAAAUUUGAAAAGGAGUGAAUUUUCUCUCUUUCUGAUAAUUUUUCUUUUUGUUUCUAUAAUUACUCUAGAAGGAAGUAAAUCAAAGGCACAAUCAGAAGAAACAUGGAGGCGAUUCAUAUUGAAAUUGAAACGCGGUGCAGUUGCCAGCAUCAAUGCGGCAAACAAUGUCUCACUACGCUGGCCCUUGAGAAUUUAAGACGACCGGAAUAAAGAAUACAAGAUGGGAAAGGACUUGCCCGCACCGUAUUUUCAUCAUUUUUGUUUAUUGAGAAGAAAACUACUUCUCUUUCACUCUCUUUUUGUUUCUGAUUAUUUUGUGUGGUUGUUUUCUUUAGGUUUUACAGGUUCUAUGAGUUGGUUUCAAAUUAAAGUUUGUGACUUAUGCCGAUUGCAAGUACUCAAAGUGUAUCUAUUCUUCGCAUAAAUUUGUUUAGGGAUAGUGGAUUUUUUUCUA